UACGGGGGGAGCAAGCGUUGUUCGGAUUUACUGGGCGUAAAGGGCGCGUAGGCGGUCGUGACAAGUCACUUGUGAAAUCUCCGGGCUUAACUCGGAACGGUCAAGUGAUACUGUCGGACUAGAGUACAGAAGGGGCAACUGGAAUUCUCGGUGUAGCGGUGAAAUGCGUAGAUAUCAUUUGGAACGCCAAUGGUGAAAACAGGUAGCUGGGGCUGUGCUGACACUGAGACACGAAAGCCAGGGGAGCGAACGGG
rnacentral:rRNA from 1 species